rnacentral:rRNA from 1 species
GACGAACGCUGGCGGCGUGCUUAACACAUGCAAGUCGAACGGUGAAGCGCCUUCCUUUUUGGUGGGUGUGGAUGAGUGGUGAACGGGUGAGUAACACGUGAGUAACCUGCCCCCUUCUUCUGGAUAACCGCAUGAAAGUGUGGCUAAUACGGGAUAUUCUGGGUCUGUCGCAUGAUGGGUCUGGGAAAGAUAUUGUUUCGGUGGGGGAUGGGCUCGCGGCCUAUCAGCUUGUUGGUGGGGUGAUGGCCUACCAAGGCGGUGACGGGUAGCCGGCCUGAGAGGGUGGACGGUCACACUGGGACUGAGACACGGCCCAGACUCCUACGGGAGGCAGCAGUGGGGAAUAUUGCACAAUGGGCGCAAGCCUGAUGCAGCGACGCCGCGUGAGGGAUGGAGGCCUUCGGGUUGUGAACCUCUUUCGCCAGUGAAGCAGGCCUGCCUCGUUUGUGGGUGGGUUGACGGUAGCUGGAUAAGAAGCGCCGGCUAACUACGUG